UAAUGAUAAGCUUAAUUUAUUAAUUUAUCAUGUUUCAUGGUGUAUUUUGGUGGGAUUUAUUAGUUCGAUCAGAGUGUACAGGAGCUACCGCACUUUCAUUCAAAGGUUCUGGAAAUGGGAAGGUAGGUAAGAUGUAAUGAAGCUGUGCCCAUCUGCAAAGGUUCGAAUUAUGGAUCAGUUUUCUGUGAAGGAUCAUAUUUUUGCAUUCUGUCGCUUGAGGUUCCCUACUAGCAUGAAGGAUGCACUUGCUGUAGUGUAUAAGGAUGUCUUCCUCUCUGGCAGCUCGUAUCCUUUCACCUUAGUGUGAAUCUCUCCAUCUCCAUUCAAACUAUGAUAUAAACUUGCUUUAAUAUACUAGGAAUAUAUGUAAUUGACGAACUCUCUAGGAAAUCCAAUUUAAAUUUACAGAUCCAUACAUCUAAUUUUUAUUAGGUUGCACAAGUUCAACUAAUCAUGAUGUAUAAAUGAGACUUGUGCUUGUUUGGUAAGGUUCAUGAUCAGUUAAAAUAGCUCGUUUUCCGAG